UCGUAUUGAUCUUUCUCCCGUAUCUGGGAGCAGGAGGAGGGGUUGCUUAACUUUCAGUUGUUCUGUGGAUCCAAAAGAGCAUUCAUGUAAGGUGGACUCAGGGGCACCUGCAGAAAUUAGAGCAACCAGGGUUAGUUUCUGAAUCAGUUCAAGAGUUUUUGAAAGCUCCUUCUCUCUCUCUGUCUGUCUCUCUCUCUCUUUCACACACACACACACACACACACACACACACAC
rnacentral:lncRNA from 1 species